CGGAGGAAAAGAAACCAACAGGGAUUGCUUUAGUAACGGCGAGUGAAGCGGCAUAAGCUCAAAUUUGAAAUCUGCCACCAGGCCGAGUUGUAAUUUGCAGAGGAUGCUUUGGAAUUCAUUCUAGCACAAGUCCAUUGGAACGUGGCGACAUGGAAGGUGAAAUUCCUGUAUCAUGUUGGUAAUGUUUUCCAUGUAAAGCUCCUUCGAAGAGUCGAGUUGUUUGGGAAUGCAGCUCUAAGUGGGAGGUAAAUUUCUUCCAAAGCUAAAUAUAGGCUAGAGACCGAUAGCGCACAAGUAGAGUGAUCGAAAGAUGAAAAGCACUUUGAAAAGAGAGUUAAAUAGCAUGUGAAAUUGUUGAAAGGGAAGCGCAUGCAGCCAGACAUGGUGAUGAAGUUCAGCCUUAUGGUGUAUUCUUUAUUACCAGGCCAGCAUCAGUUUAGGCAGUUGGAUAAAAGUUUCGGGAAUGUAACUCUUCGGAGUGUUAUAGCCCGAUUCAUAAUGCAGCUAGUCUAGACUGAGGUCUGCUUUAAGGAUGCUGGCAUAAUGGUGGCAUGCGGCCCGUCUUGAAACACGGACCAAGGAGUCUAACAUUUAUGCGAGUGUUUGAGUGUCAAACUCAUACGCGGAAUGAAAGUGAACGGAGGUGAGAGCUUAGGCGCAUCAUCGACCGGUCUUGAUGUCUUCGGAUGGAUCUGAGUAAGAGCAUAACUGUUAGGACCCGAAAGGUAAGCACAUUUUUCAUUAUUACACCCUGUACAACUAGAUUUCAAGCUAACAUUUCGCAGAUGGUGAACUAUGCCUGAAUAGGGUGAAGUCAGAGGAAACUCUGAUGGAGGCCCGCAGCGGUUCUGACGUGCAAAUCGAUCGUCAAAUUUGGGCAU
rnacentral:rRNA from 1 species